UACGUAGGUGGCAAGCGUUGUCCGGAUUUAUUGGGUUUAAAGGGUGCGUAGGCGGCUUUGUAAGUCAGUGGUGAAAUAUGGCAGCUCAACUGUCAGGGUGCCAUUGAUACUGCGGAGCUUGAGUACAGAUGAGGUAGGCGGAAUUGACGGUGUAGCGGUGAAAUGCUUAGAUAUCGUCAAGAACACCUAUAGCGAAGGCAGCUUACUAGGCUGUAACUGACGCUGAGGCACGAAAGUGUGGGGAUCAAACAGG
rnacentral:rRNA from 1 species